rnacentral:lncRNA from 1 species
UCAAAGAUGGCGACGUUCUGAAUUCAUCAACAGCGUUUUUAGAGAGAGACCACAAAACUGGCGGGAGCAGCACCGGUGGAGGACACUGACUUUAAAACCAUCAAUGACCUAAAGACUAUAUCACGUGUCUCAAUUUAUUUCUGAAAAGCCAAAGCACAUACUCUGCUUUUUUAUGAUGGAUGGUGCCGCAGAAGAGGUUCAGCUCCAGGAAGGCACGAGGUGCUGUGAUUAACGAUGCUGCAUGGAGUCCCACCGGAGCCCCGGAGGAUGAUACAGUUGUGUAAAAACAGCUGCUUCUGUGAGGAGAUAGAGGGCUUCGGGCAGGAGGCACAACCCUCUGAGUAACACCACGGACCUGUCAAGAUGGAAACACAAGCAACAAGGGGUGGGCUGCACUGCUUGAGAUAGGAUGGAGAACAUGAGGAGGCUGAAGGUCAGGGAGGAGGGAAAUUUGAUCCAAUAUUCUAAAGAGGGAGAACAUAAACAACGCCGACUGCCACACAGCACGGUCCAUAAAUGUCUUCAGAAUAAUGUUUACAUCUCAACUGAUCUGUCAUCUGCAGGAGCCCCUGCCCCAUCAUAUGCCUCACAUGCCCUCAGCCGGAC